rnacentral:rRNA from 1 species
CCCUUAGAUGUUCUGGGCUGCACGCGCGCUACACUGAUGCACUCAUCGAGUUUAUGACCUUGCCCGAUAGGGUUGGGUAAUCUUCUUAAAAUGCAUCGUGAUGGGGAUAGAUUAUUGCAAUUAUUAAUCUUCAACGAGGAAUUCCUAGUAAGCGCGAGUCAUCAGCUCGUGCUGAUUACGUCCCUGCCCUUUGUACACACCGCCCGUCGCUCCUACCGAUUGAGCGAUCCGGUGAAUAAUUCGGACUGCAGCAAUGUUUGGAUCCCGAACGUUGCAGUGGAAAGUUUAGUGAACCUUAUCACUUAGAGGAAGGAGAAGUCGUAACA